rnacentral:snoRNA from 1 species
AUUGCAAAGAGUACUUAUGGGGCUGUAAAACCAAGAGCUCUUUAAUACUGGAAUCAAAAACUGAAGUGACUAUUGCAUGCCAUAGUCACUCAAUAGUGUUAUGUAUCACCUCUGUGGUGGUAUU